rnacentral:misc_RNA from 1 species
ACGUACAUUUACUAUUUAGUGAAUGAAACGUGUGCGAUAUGUCGUAUAACCUACGACGUAUAAAAUCUUAAAGCGUCUCGCAACGAUGGAUCAUUCGUUUCAUUAACGUUUGACCGGAGCUAGUCGCAAAAUAUUGCGCAGUGUGCAAAAGCAGCGUGACGCGGUUUACAACCGCUUAGCGCUCUUAUGCAUUGUGUGAGAGCACUGCCAUGUAUAUCUGCUCGGUAUCGCCAGAUGCCUGAGCGAAUGACGAAGUUCGUUGUGAAAACGGCGUUCUUUUUGAAUAUUAUACUUUAAACGCAUAGCUCAAUCAAUUCUUUGGGCGCUAGAUGAAAGUCUAGUGUUUCAAAGUCGAUUGUAGUAAACGCUUGCGUUAGUAUUCUAUAUACUCUGCACAUUUUAUUCAAAUUGUGCGAAUUUGAACAUUCGCUUCAUUGCGUUGUUUUAAGAAAAUGAAAGAUCAGCGAAAGCAGAUUUUUCAAUCUCACACACAAUGAAAUAUUCAUAUUUCAAUUUUGAAACGAGGUCUCGUAUCUCGGACCGAAAAGCGAAAGCUUUACGGUGUACUAAUUGUAACCAUAAUAAACAUACUAGUUUCAGAAUCGCCCGAGUUAUCUUAAACGAUUUCGAGGGAAUCACGAUUGAAACAUGUAUAAAUAUAUAUAAAA